ACAUUGAAACGGCGGUUCCCAUAUGAUCGCUGAAGUUAAGCAAUGUCGAGCCUUACCAGUACCUAGAUGGGUGAAUGCUUGGGAAUACCAGAUGCUGUAAG